rnacentral:rRNA from 1 species
UGGGGGAUAUUGCACAAUGGGCGAAAGCCUGAUGCAGCGACGCCGCGUGGGGGAUGAAGGCUUUCGGGUUGUAAACCUCUUUCGCUAUCGAACAAGGCCCGCUUAGGGUGGGUUGAGGGUAGGUGGAGAAGAAGCGCCGGCUAACUACGUGCCAGCAGCCGCGGUAAUACGUAGGGCGCGAGCGUUGUCCGGAAUUAUUGGGCGUAGAGGGCUUGUAGGCGGCUUGUUGCGCCUGCUGUGAAAACGCGGGGCUUAACUUCGCGCGUGCAGUGGGUACGGGCAGGUUUGAGUGUGGUAGGGGUGGCGGGAAUUCCAGGUGUAGCGGGGGAAUGCGCAGAUAUCUGGAGGAACACCGAUGGCGAAGGCAGGUCACUGGGCCAUUACUGACGCUGAGGAGCGAAAGAAUGGGUAGCGAACAGG